AGUGAACGCUGGCGGCGUGCUUAACACAUGCAAGUCGAACGAGAACGGAUUAUAGCUUGCUAUAAUUGUCAGCUAAGUGGCGCACGGGUGAGUAAUGUAUAGGUAAUAUGCCUCUUACUAAGGGAUAACAAAUGGAAACGUUUGCUAAUACCUUAUACUCCUUAUUAACAUAAGUUAAUAAGGGAAAGAUUUAUUGGUAAGAGAUUAGCCUGUAUUGUAUCAGUUAGUUGGUGGGGUAAUGGCUUACCAAGACUAUGACACAUAACUGGUUUGAGAGGAUGAUCAGUCACACUGGAACUGAGACACGGUCCAGACUCCUACGGGAGGCAGCAGUGGGGAAUAUUGCACAAUGGACGGAAGUCUGAUGCAGCAACGCCGCGUGGAGGAUGACACAUUUCGGUGCGUUAACUCCUUUUAUAUGAGAAGAUAAUGACGGUAUUAUAUGAAUAAGCACCGGCUAACUCCGUGCCAGCAGCGCCGUAA
rnacentral:rRNA from 1 species